rnacentral:rRNA from 1 species
GACGAACGCUGGCGGCAUGCCUAAUACAUGCAAGUCGAGCGAACAGAUGAAGUGCUUGCGCUUCUGAUGUUAGCGGCGAACGGGUGAGUAACACGUAAGGAAUCUACCUAUAAGCGGGGGAUAACAUUCGGAAACGGGUGCUAAUACCGCAUAAUAUCUUCUUCCGCAUGGAAGAAGAUUGAAAGACGGCUCUGCUGUCACUUAUAGAUGACCUUGCGGUGCAUUAGUUAGUUGGGGGGGUAAUGGCCUACCAAGACGAUGAUGCAUAGCCGACCUGAGAGGGUGAUCCGCCACAUUGGGACUGAGACACGGCCCAAACUCCUACGGGAGGCAGCAGUAGGGAAUCUUCCGCAAUGGGCGAAAGCCUGACGGAGCAAUGCCGCGUGAGUGAAGAAGGCCUUCGGGUCGUAAAACUCUGUUAUAAGAGAAGAACAAAUUGUAGAGUAACUGCUACAGUCUUGACGGUAUCUUAUCAGAAAGCCACGGCUAACUACGUGCCAGCCGCCGCAGUAA